rnacentral:rRNA from 1 species
GGGUCAGUAGGUUGGUCGUGCCACCGGUACGUACUGGUCUCACUGAUUCCUCCUUCCUGAAGAACCGUAAUGCCAUUAAUUUGGUGUUGCGGGGAAACAGGACUGUUACUUUGAAAAAAUUAGAGUGUUUAAAGCAAGCUAACGCGUGAAUACAUUAGCAUGGAAUAAUGAAAUAGGACGAUCGAUCCUAUUUUGUUGGUUUCUAGGAUUGACGUA